GCAUUAAUGGGGUAGUGGUAACCUGGGUCGUUGCCAUAUUAAUUUGGCUGCGUUCAUCGACCCGCCGGGGGUUCAAUUCCCCCUUAAUGCA